AGAAAGAUAAUAUUACAGACACCAAGGGAAUGGGUACUGUUCCAAAAAAAAUGCCCCGCAAGUGUUACCAUGGCUAGACUGGAAGAGUCUACAAUGUUACCCAGCAUGCUGCUGGCAUUGUAGUAAAUGAACAAUGGCAACAGUCUUGCCAAGAGAAUUAAUAUGCAUAUUGAGCACAUUAAGCGCUCUAAAGGCCAGCAUCAUUUCCUAAAACUCAUGAAGGAAAAUGAUCAGAAAAAGAAGAAAGCCAAAGAGAAAGGUACCAGAGAAGCACACUGUGUGAGAACCAAUGGGAAGAAGCCUGAGCUGCUGGAACCUAUUACCUAUGAAUUCAUGG
rnacentral:lncRNA from 1 species